CAGUUGUAGCAAGGAUAUUUAG
rnacentral:miRNA from 1 species